GGUUGGAGAUAUGGCUCAAUGGUAAAGUGAUUGUCUAGCAUGCAUGAGGCCUGGGUUCAAUCCCCAACAACCA
rnacentral:tRNA from 1 species